GACAUUAGCCAGAGCAGCUCGCGGCUUCUUCUUCUUCUUCUUCUUCUUGUUUAAAAUUGCGCCAGAAGUUUGCUCAUGAUAAAAAAAAAAAAAAAAAAACACCGCGCUGUUUUGCCGCUUCCUCACCGAGCGAGCGCACCUGCGAGUCUCCUCCGGUUAGCGGGGCGGAAGUAAGACCCAGCCUGCGGGACGCGGCGGCGGCGGCUCGGCGACUUGCCCCGCCGGGUUAGGGUGCAGGAGUUCCGGGCGUCACGCGCCGCCUCGAGCCGGGAGCCUGUUGAUUUCUGAGCAGCUGUCAUCCCGCGGCUCUCAUACCUCACGACAUGAUCAGCAGCAGCAGCGUCUAUGAGCAUACUCUCCCCCUGUGAACCAGCUCCACUCCUCUUGAUGCGCGGCGGAACAACUCCCAACGUCUCCCUUGAUGUGUCUAUAUCAAAUGAAUGUGGCCUAUUACAUACGUGAUGGAGUCAGCUGGGUGGCUUUGUGGACACAAAAAAGGGGGCCAGCGAGGGACCAUGAAAGAGACAUUGUCCACUGCGGACCGUACAGUUGCUUUGUAGAUAAAUGGAUUUUCAUGCUUAUCAAGUGGGACAGUGGCGUGAAUGAAAACUGUGGAGAAUGUGGAAUUAUACUCACUAUUCGCCCAAACGCACGGAGAUCUGUGGAUUCAAGUGUGUGGUCUGUUAUUGUCCGGCAGUAAGAGUUGUUUAGGUGCUACAUUUUAUUUUAAACACUUCAGUCAACCAUGUUAA